CUUCGGCCCCGAGCCCCCUUUCCCCCUCGGUUGCCGUGGGGCAGCUCUCGGUUAUGGGAUCCGGGCUUGAGUUGCAGGGUUUUACCCAUUUAUGGCCAAUGUCGAGCGUGCGGUUGCUGCACAGCGCCGGUGGGCUUGCAUUUCAUUUCUUUCCCUUCUAAAAUAUUGCUUCGGUGGGCUCCAAGUGCGGCGUUUUGCCAUCUGCGUGCAACGCCGCUGGGAGCGAGAUCUGCAAAAGCUGCAAAGUGAAACUCCCGAUGGGUUCUACCAGCGGACAGGCUCCAGUUGGGACCGGUGGCCAAUGGUCGCGCCCGCACCCGGCGGAGAUAUCGGGGAGGUGACCACCUCGGCAGCACCCAAGGGCCCCGCGCCGGGUCACCUCUGCCACCUUUGGGGACAGCGGGAUGGGACACGUGGCCGCAGCGGAGCUGGAGGGCUCCCAUGUCCUCUUUGCUGUAGGGUGAAAUGAAGGUGGUGGUGGUGGGGUCACCGUCCCCGGAGGUGCUCCAGAACCGUGGAGAUGUGGCACCGACGGACACGGUCAGCGGGCACGGAAGGCCAGCUGACCUCUCCCACUGCACACCCCGGUGGAGUAUAGAUGGCCUCAAAACGUCUCUCGGAGCCUCUGGAUGCCGUCCUUUUUCACAAGCUACCUCGGCUGGAGGCCGAGCCCAGCCCGGGCAUCCCCUCCAUGCUCUGCAAACCCAACCCUGUGCCCACAGCCGGACCUGAAACCCACCUCGGCUACAAGGGCUCCUACUUCUCCUGCCCACAGGCGGACGGACAGCUCCUGCACUGCCUGCUCCGCCGGCCCCACAGCCCCACGGGCAGGCCAGGUGCUGAGCAGGGCAAGAAUCAUCCCAUGUGGGACCCGCUGGUGGCACAAGACAAGUGGCCCGGCCACCAGGGCCAACCCUUCCCACUGAAGAAGCCACCUGCUGUCCCCAAGCCCGUGUACGCAGCCCCAAUUUGCUUCACACCUCUGGGCUCCCGGGGAGGUGACACCCUGCAGAGGGGGCCAGGGGCCGUGCCUGCUGUGCCCCCACCCUCCCCUGUCACCCUUUCUCCCUAUUACACUGCCUUUGAGAAAUACCACGGUCCCCCUGCUGUGCAUGACCAGGGGAAGGCACCCGAAAUCCCCACCUGCAUCCUGGACCCCUGGAUGAAGGCACACAGGGAGCAUCCCUCCGCCUGCUACCCGCAGCCCCCCUACCCACAGCCUCCGGGCUCCUUCUCCUACAAAGCUUUCGGCUUCGUGGUGAAUGGGAAAUCUCCCCCUUUUCCCAGCACUUACCUUAAGCCCCCAACCCCCCGGAGCCACUAUCCCGGCCCCUCGGAUAGCUUCGUGUCGAGGCCGGCUGCACCGGGCUCGCUGCCCACGCUGAAAGCAAUGGGACCAAGGGAUCCUGAGCCUCAACCUCUGCCUCCAGCCGGGUACCUGCAUCCAAAUCCCGGAUUCGCCUUCAGCCCCAUGGACGCAGCUUUAUUCACGGAGCAUCACAGUGAUGGGCGAAUGGCAGCGCUGGAAGCCCACAGAGGGAGGGCGGUGGCGAGGCACAGCAGCGCCUUCCACCCCAUCCACACCCCACAGAAGACGCCUGAUGGGCUGCUGGGGCCAUUUCCCAAAGCAGAAGCUGGCUACAGUCUGGAUAAGGCGAUGACGGCCACCCCUGUCCCCUGCCAGCAGCAGGCGGUCAAAGGUGGGGUUGGGGAUGCCACCAAGGAGCACUUCACCCCUUGUGGGGCCAUCUGUCCCCAGGAGAGGCUGAGGGACCGACAGAGAGGUGACGUGUCCCCCCCUUCCCCGCCGAUGCCGGUGAUCAACAAGGUCUUCAGCCUGGCACCUUACCGGGAGUACCUGGAGGGGACCGAAGUCUCCGCCGAUGUCCCCAGGGAGCACCCACGAGGGGACACACCACCCCAAAACGCAGGCAGCCAUCAGGAGCCUGCUGGCAUCAAGAUGACACCCAGCCCGCUGCAUGGCAAAGGGGAAAGCUGUCACCGAAAGGUCCCCGAGGGCCCCAAGGCAAAGCCCAUGUCCUCAGAGCCACUAGCAAGCAGUCACCCGGGGCGUCAGGACAGCGAGGGGGAACCAACCCCUGGUGACGUGGCACUGGACCUGAGCUUGAAGAAGAGCCUGGUGACAACGGGGAGCACCCACACAGAGGGGAUGUUGGACCCAGGAGAGAAAGAGGGGUCACUGGGCCAGGUGGAGGUGGGUGAGGACACCAAUGUGCCACCGCAGCUGGUGGAGGCGGGUGGGGACACCAAACUCCCGGUGCCACCCAACCAAUUGGAGGUGGGUGAGGACACCAAAGCCCAGGUACGACCCAACCAAGUGGAGGUAGGUGAGGACACCAAAGCCCAGGUGCCACUGCAGCUGGUGGAGGUCAGCUCGAGGGACAGGAGCCACUUCCAGAGCUCGGCUGCCUUCAUGUUCAAGAAAUACAAGAUCCUGAAGUCCUGGGGACCUCCCUGCGCCCCCCAGCCCAGCUCCCCACCGCAUGCAUGGCAGGGGUCCCCCAGCACCUCCGUCCCACAGGAGCCUUGCCACAACCCAAAGCCUGAAGACGUGUCACCAGCGCUUCCCCAAGACCCCCUGCCCACCCCCUGCCAUGUCCCAGCACAGCCAUGCUUAGCCAACCAGGGUUUCUCUGCCUUGCACAUGUCCCUGUGCCACAUCAUCUCAUGCUCGGUGUCCACAUCCUCCCCGGAGCUGCUGCGGGACUGGCUGAGGAGGACAGAGCCGGGAGACGCGCUGGCAGAGACACCCAAAUCCCUUCCUAAACCCAAAAAUGGCUCCAAACUCCCUGAGCCUCAGAAGCCCCCGAAAGGCAAGGAGAUCUGGCUGGCAUUCCGGAAUGCGGCCGCGCUCCUCAGCAAGCUCCUGGCUCAGCUGGAGGCCUUCACCUUCACCCGCAAGUGCCCUUUUCCCUAUGUGUUGCGGGCAGGUGCCAUCUUCAUCCCCAUCCAUGUGGUGAAGGAGAAGCUCUUCCCCGAGCUCCCCGGGGCCUCUGUGGACCAGGUGCUGCAGAAGCACAAGGUGGAGCUGCGGCCCACCACGCUCUCUGAAGAGAAGCUUCUGAGGGAGCUGGAGCUCAAGGGCUGCACCUCGCGCAUGCUGAAGCUCCUGGCUCUCAAGCAGCUCCCUGAAAUCUACCCAGACCUGCUGAACCUCCUGUGGCACCACUCCAUUCAGCAACAGCUCGAUUUCCCCAAACUGGCCUCCACGUGUCACGGACCCUACAAAACACAGCUUCAAAGCCUCUCCUGAGAAACCCCAAAGCUUCUCCCAAGAAAACCCAGCUCCUUCCUCCGGGCAGGCUCUCAGGAAUGGGACAGUCCCACCCUGCCCUCGUGUCCCUAUUGCUGCAACUGGAGGGAUCACCGACAACUUUGUGUCUUACAGGGUCAAGGUCGGAGGUUGGCCAGUAGAAAUUUGACUUCGUCCAUCGACCGUGCUGGACCACAGCACAGGGAGCGAUGGUGUCGGGGCGAGAGCUUUGGUCCUGGCUGGGAAGGGGCUGCAAGGAAGAUCUGAAGGACAAUUAAUAACAAAAACCCUCCCAAAUGCUGCAGCCACCUGGGGAACAUGCCCAGGACAGACAGACAGACAGACAGACAGACUGCCUUCCCCCCGCCUCGUGUUGUCACCUUACAACUCCGCGCUCAGGUGUUGCUAGCAGAGGAGGAACAAGUUCAGAUGAGGAUUACGUUGUUAUUUUUUCACUACAGGAGUAUUUAUUUUAAACUAAGAAAAUGGAGAAAAAGGAAAAAAAAAAAAAAAACCCAAACCCAUACCCGUGAUUUUUCUUAGCCAAAUAGGGUCUCUCUCUGCAUGGGGAGGCUGCUGCUGUAAAGGGAUUUGGAAAGCAGUGUUUGUUGAUAAGCCUGGCAUGUGGUUUUAUAUACCAAUACACCUGUGCAGGGAAGGACGUUACAUUGCCUUAUUUAAUGUUUUGUAAGACUGUGGGUUUCCAGAAGCACCUCACCUCAUUAAAGGGCUCAUUUUCCAACA